UACGUAGGGGGCAAGCGUUGUCCGGAAUCAUUGGGCGUAAAGAGCGUGUAGGCGGCCAGAUAGGUCCGUUGUGAAACCUGGAGGCUUAACCUCCAGCCGUCGAUGGAAACCAUCUGGCUAGAGUCCGGAAGAGGAGAGUGGAAUUCCUGGUGUAGCGGUGAAAUGCGCAGAUAUCAGGAAGAACACCCGUGGCGAAGGCGGUUCUCUGGGACGGUACUGACGCUGAGACGCGAAAGCGUGGGGAGCGAACAGG
rnacentral:rRNA from 1 species